UACGGAGGGUGCAAACGUUGCUCGGAAUCAUUGGGCGUAAAGCGCACGUAGGCGGUCCGUUAAGUCGGGAGUGAAAGCCCUAGGCUCAACUUAGGAAGUGCUUUCGAAACUGGCGGACUUGAAUACUGAAGAGGAUCGCGGAAUUCCCGGUGUAGAGGUGAAAUUCGUAGAUAUCGGGAGGAACACCGGUGGCGAAGGCGGCGACCUGGGUCGAGACUGACGCUGAGGCGCGAAAGCGUGGGGAGCAAACAGG
rnacentral:rRNA from 1 species